rnacentral:rRNA from 1 species
GAUGAACGCUGGCGGCGUGCCUAAUACAUGCAAGUCGAGCGAACAGAUAAGGAGCUUGCUCCUUUGACGUUAGCGGCGGACGGGUGAGUAACACGUGGGUAACCUACCUAUAAGACUGGGAUAACUUCGGGAAACCGGAGCUAAUACCGGAUAAUAUUUCGAACCGCAUGGUUCGAUAGUGAAAGAUGGUUUUGCUAUCACUUAUAGAUGGACCCGCGCCGUAUUAGCUAGUUGGUAAGGUAACGGCUUACCAAGGCGACGAUACGUAGCCGACCUGAGAGGGUGAUCGGCCGCACUGGAACUGAGACACGGUCCAGACUCCUACGGGAGGCAGCAGUAGGGAAUCUUCCGCAAUGGGCGAAAGCCUGACGGAGCAACGCCGCGUGAGUGAUGAAGGUCUUCGGAUCGUAAAACUCUGUUAUUAGGGAAGAACAUACGUGUAAGUAACUGUGCACGUCUUGACGGUACCUAAUCAGAAAGCCACGGCUAACUACGUG